rnacentral:rRNA from 1 species
AAAGUACUUUCAGCGGGGAGGAAGGGAGUAAAGUUAAUUCCUUUGCUCAUUGAGGUUCCCCGCAGAAGAAGCACGGGCUAACUCCGUCCCAGCAGCCGCGGUAAUACGGAGGGUCCAAGCUUUUCUGGGAAUUUUUGGGGGUAAAGCGCACGCGGGCGGUUUGUUAAUUCAGAUGUGAAAUCCCCGGGUUCACCGUGGGGGGUCCAUGUGAUAUUGGCAAGCUUGAGUCUGGUGGAGGGGGGUAGAUUUCCAGGUGUAGGGGUGAAAUGUGUAGAGAUGUAGAGGCAUACCGGGCGAGAGAGGCGUCUCUCGUGACGAAGUCUCACGGUCAGGUGAGAGAGCGUGGAGAGCACACAGGAUGAGACACUGUGAGUGUACACGCCGUAAGAGAAGUGGACUUGGAGGUGGUGCCCCUGCGGCGCGGCUUCCGGAGCUAACGCAGUUAAGCUCUCCCGCCUGGGGAGUACGCACGCAAAGGUUAAAAUUCAAAGAAAUUGACGGGGGCCCCCCCAAGCGGUGGGAGCAUGUGGUUUAAUUGGAUGCAACGGGAAGACCCUUACAUGGUCUUGACAUCCACAGAACUUUCCAGAGAUGCAUUGGUGCCUUCGGGAACAGUGAGACAGGUGUGUGCACUGGCUGUGUGUCAGCUUGUGUUGUGAAAAGUUGGGUUAAGUCCCGCACACGAGCGCAACCCUUAUCUUUUGUUGCCAGCUGCGUCCGGCCGGGCACUCAAAGGAGACUGCCAGUGAUAAACCGGAGGAAGGUGGGGAUGACGUCAAGUCAUCAUGCCCCUUACGACCAGGGCUACACACGUGCUACAAUGGCGCAUACAAAGAGAAGCCACCUCGCGAGAGCAAGCGGACCUCAUAAAGUGGGUCGUAGUCCGGAUUGGAGUCUGCAACUCGCCUCCAUGAAGUCGGAAUCGCUAGUAAUCGUGGAUCAGCAUGCCGCGGUGAAUACGUUCCCGGGCCUUGCACUCACCGCCCGUCA